UUUUUUUUUCUUUUAUGCUCACCAUUAUUAUUUUUGUAGCUGAAAGUCUUAUCAUAUAGGAAUUUUUUAAGAUAAUAUUGAUAGAAAAUAGAGUGAAUAUAUGAACUUCUGGAGAGGAAGAAUUGUUUGUUUGGAUUUUUAUAAGCUUUGCUCAUAUUUCCUCAUGAGGAGUUUACUGUUUCUAUGCUUUCGCUUUAAAAGACAGUGUCAUGAGUGACAGUCAUUCAUUGGUUUCACAAAAGAAGGACCUGUGUGGCUUUUCAAGUCUUGUCCUGAGCUGCUUAUUAAAGCCCAGGUCAUGACAGCUAAUAAGAAUUGUUCAUGAGUAGGGACAAAGGACAAAUUUUUUUCUGAUUUACAAUCCACUUGAGGAUUGUUGAAGAGAGAAUCUGAACUUCAGUAAGAGCUUCAGGAAUUAAGCCUUAUCCAAGCAACUGUUUUCUGAUCAGCAUGUUUGUUGCACCUGAUUGAAGAGAGAACUGAAAAGAAUAGUUUUGAUGAUUAUUAUUUGUUAAAAAAUUUGUAUUUGCUCCUGGCUUAUAUGAUCUAUACUUUUUAUUUAAAUAUGAAUAUGGUGUUUUAGCCUAGGGUUCAAGAUUGCAAAGAUCAUACACUUUUAUUCACAGUGCCCACAGUUGUUCCAUGUAUUUUUGAGAUAAUCCUACUUAGAGUGACUGCUCUUAUUAUAGUAUGGUGAUGAGUAAUUCACCUGCUCUUCUGUGACAGGUCAAAUCAUACAAAUCAUACAAAUUGCUGAUGUAUAGUAGAACAUCUGGUGUACAAUAGUAUUUUUGGAUUGGGACCUGCAAUCCUUACUCAAGCAAAAAUUCUACAGAAUUCCUUCAUUCUAUGGAAUUAAAUAAUUUUUCUUGAAUUGGGAGCUCAGGGUCAAAUCCUUAUUUUGUUGGGCAUCUGUUUAAAGUGAAAAUGGUAAUAUUCCAGUUAUUUCCUGAGGAAACUAAUACUUUGCUGAAUUUACCCAUGUCACAUUGACUAUAUAAAAAAUAACGCACAAAGUACUGAUGUAAAAAGGGAAGAAGAGAAGGGACAUUUUUAAAAAGCACAGAGAAAAGGAGAAUAACCAGAAAAGAGAAGUAAGCAGGAAAAGAAUAUAUAACAGCCAAGGAAAGAAAAAAGAGUUUAAACACCUGAUGCUAAAUUCAUCCUUGGAUGGCUUUACUGACUUCAAUGAAUUCAGUGCCCAACUGGGUGAAGUUCAGCCUCCACUGGGAUAAUCAGGCUCAGUUCCACUGACCUUAAAGGAACUGAACCCAUCUACAACAGGAAUGAACUUGCCUCUCUGGGCCAACUUUUAUCCUGACUCAUAUGUCAUGCAAUCCUUUUGGAUUCAUUAGGUUUGGAUGAAAUAUAAGUCAGAAAAGAAUUUGCCCCAGAUAUUUCUGCUUCACAUUUUUUUUCAAGUGUGUUAAUCGAGUUAAAAUGGAUUACAACAUCACACAAACUGCUGUCACUGUCUAAAAAGGUUAAUUGGUUUUUAAAAUAAGAACUGUCCCCUGCAGCGUCAGUGGAAGCAUGCAAUAUUUUCCUGUCCAUUCAUCUGGAUGCAAAUGUGGCCAUUCAUUUAGCUGUGGCUAUGUAUAGGACAAUUCCAGACAUAUCCGAUAUCAUCCGCUAUUGGAAGCAUUUUUUACUUCUUUGAAAGAUAAAAAGACAGUUUCAUAACAGGCUUAGAAAUGGUGAAGGCUGCUUCCACUGACACUGCAACAACAUUAGCCAGUACAUUACAAUGUUAAUUGUAACUUCUUGACAACGUUGAAUCCAUAUUGUUGUUAAUAAAAAUGAUUUGAAA
rnacentral:lncRNA from 1 species